CCUACGGGUGGCAGCAGUGAGGAAUAUUGCUCAAUGGGCGCGAGCCUGAACCAGCCAAGUCGCGUGAAUGAUGACUGCCCUACGGGUUGUAAACUUCUUUUAUAAAGGAAUAAAGUGAGGCACGUGUGCCUUUUUGUAUGUCCUUUAUGAAUAAGGAUCGGCUAACUCCGUGCCAGAAGCCGCGGUAAUACGGAGGAUCCGAGCGUUAUCCGGAUUUAUUGGGUUUAAAGGGAGCGUAGAGGGGUUGUUAAGUCAGUUGUGAAAGUUUGCGGCUAAACCGUAAAAUUGCAAUUGAUACUGGCAGUCUUGAGUACAGGUGAGGUAGGCGGAAUUCGUGGUGUAGCGGUGAAAUGAGUAGAUAUUAGGAAGAACUCCGAUUGCGAAGGCAGCUUACUAAACUGCAACUGACAUUGAUGCUCGAAAGUGUGGGUAGCAAACAGGAUUAGAUACCCCUGUAGUC
rnacentral:rRNA from 1 species